UACGUAGGUGGCAAGCGUUUGUCCGGAUUUACUGGGCGUAAAGAGCGCGCAGGCGGUCGUCCAAGUCGCGUGUGAAAGCCCCCGGCUCAACUGGGGAGGGUCACGCGAUACUGGUCGACUCGAAGGCAGGAGAGGGUAGUGGAAUUCCCGGUGUAGUGGUGAAAUGCGUAGAUAUCGGGAGGAACACCAGUGGCGAAGGCGACUACCUGGCCUGUUCUUGACGCUGAGGCGCGAAAGCUAGGGGAGCAAACGGG
rnacentral:rRNA from 1 species